rnacentral:rRNA from 1 species
GAUGAACGCUAGCUACAGGCUUAACACAUGCAAGUCGAGGGGCAGCAUGACGAUAGCUUGCUAUUGUUGAUGGCGACCGGCGCACGGGUGAGUAACGCGUAUCCAACCUGCCCUUGUCCACCGGAUAACCCGUCGAAAGGCGGACUAACACGGUAUGCAGUCCACAGCAGACAUCUAACGUGGACGAAAUGUGAAGGAGAAGGAUGGGGAUGCGUCUGAUUAGCUUGUUGGCGGGGUAACGGCCCACCAAGGCGACGAUCAGUAGGGGUUCUGAGAGGAAGGUCCCCCACAUUGGAACUGAGACACGGUCAAAACUCCUACGGGAGGCAGCAGUGAGGAAGAUUGGUCAAUGGGCGAGAGCCUGAAACAGCCAAGUAGCGUGCAGGAAGACAGCCCUAUGGGCUGUAAACUGCUUUUAUACGGGGAUAAAGUGAGUCACGUGUGGCUUAUUGCAGGUACCGUAUGAAUAAGGACCGGCUAAUUCCGUGCCAGCCGCCGCCGUAA